rnacentral:rRNA from 1 species
UACAGAGGGGGCAAGCGUUGUUCGGAAUUACUGGGCGUAAAGGGCGCGUAGGCGGCCUGCUAAGUCGAACGUGAAAUCCCCGGGCUCAACCCGGGAACUGCGUCCGAUACUGGUGGGCUUGAAUCCGGAGAGGGAUGUGGAAUUCCAGGUGUAGCGGUGAAAUGCGUAGAUAUCUGGAGGAACACCGGUGGCGAAGGCGGCAUCCUGGACCGGUAUUGACGCUGAGGCGCGAAAGCUAGGGGAGCAAACGGG